GAGUUUGAUCCUGGCUCAGGACGAACGCUGGCGUGUCUAACACAUGCAAGUCGAACGGGAUCGGGGGCAACUCCGGUUCAUGGCAGAUGGGUGCGUAACACGUGAGGAACUUGUCCGACGGCGGGGGAUACCGGCCCAACGGCCGGUAAUACCGUCCCUCUGGGGGCUCCUGGGCAGAAACACCCCAAGGUUGCCCCGGGGAAAGUUCGGCUUUCAGUUGUGGGGGACGGCCCACCAAGGAACAACGGAUAGUGGUUGAAAGAUAUGGCCACUUUGGAAUGUGAAACACGCCCAAUUCUACACGGAGGGGACAUGGGAAGUGUUGCAAUGUGGCCAAGGGUCCAGAACCCGUGGAGGAAAAAGGCCUUCGGUUUAUCUUUUCACGGAAAAUAAUACCCACCUUAGAAAAAAACCCGUUACUCUUGCCCCCAGCGCGGUAUUACAAGGGGUUCGCUUUUUGAAUUACUGGGGCGAAGGCCGGAGUUGUUUUUAAGUUGGGGAAAACUCUUUUUUAGGGGAAAACUUUUACUUCUUGUCUUUAAUAAUAGAGGAGGAUGGGGUUUUCGGGGGGGGGGAACCCCUAUUUUUGGGGAGAUUUAAGGGGGGGGGCU
rnacentral:rRNA from 1 species